rnacentral:lncRNA from 1 species
UGAUGCACCGAGUUCGCUGAGCCUGUAAACAAUCGAUGAUUUCUUUCGGUCCACACAACCCAAACACAAGCCAACCAUACGAGCUGCAUGAAAGAACGUCGAGCUCUAGAACCACCUGCUGAAUCCGUAAACUGAACGAAGUGUUCUGGAAGAGUCUGAGCAGUCACCAAAGAAGACCCAAUCCAGGAGCUGACAAGGGACCACAGGGGACCAAAAGAGCUGCAAUAGAGAAACAAGUGCUGAGCCGACUCAACCUCUCCACAACCAGAGACACAGAGAUGAGCCUCCGUAGAUAAAACCCCUCGAAUAACCAGGUUUGCUUUUGUAGGUAACCUGUCCCGCAAGAGUCGCCAUGCACAUAUGGAAACCUUCAAAGGAACCUGGCGGUGCCAGAUAAGUCCUGACGCAGCAUCCAAAGUAACUGUAUCCUGAGUCGUCAAAAGCUGAUAAGCACCACGAACCGUGUAACCGUCAUCCAAGUCAACCCGCCACUGCCACCUAUCUGAAACAUGAUCCUGCAAAGAGAUGGUGAGUAGAUAAGCCUGACACUCCCCCAACAACUCCUCCUCC